UAGAAGGCUGAGAUAUAUUCUGAAAAGCUUUCUGUUAUUACUGUCAUUACAUGUGAGCCAAUGGAGACCCAAAUCCACUGACUUCCUGCUGGAUCCCUCAGACUAAAAGACCUGCUAUCAAGUCUGUCCCGUGGUCAACAAGAUGACUCAAAGCAGUUCACACUUGGGGUACGAGGAGGGCGUAUUCCCCAGGGAUUGGCACCCAGCUUCAGAUGUCUAAAAUGGCUUUUUGGGGUCCCUGGCUUGGCAACAACCAUUUGUCUGAAACAUAUGGACAAACACUGAACAUGGAAGCAAAAGACUACAGGAAACAUGAUGGCUUUACUUCCAUCUGGUCGUAAAGAUGUUUGCAGCCUAGAGAUAAUGGCCGUAUUCUGCCCCAUAAGAGCUAUUGAAGACAUUGGGAAGUAUUAGGAUGUCUCUCUACCAUUUCCUGCAUCUUUUCUUGAUGGGAUUGGAGGGGGAAAAUCUUUCAAAUUCACUUGACCAUAUUUUAAUAGGCUGACUGGUAAAGAAUCAUAGCCAAGUACUUUUUUUAUUUAGCUGUUUUAUUAAAGCUUUCAAAUCUCUGGAAAAAGAUGGCAUGUAGGUAAAAAUAAUGGCAAUAGGUUGAUGGGGAAGGAUAAAAUAUAGUACCAAUGGCAUUGUGCUUAUAUUUAAUCUAUUGCUUGUAUGAUUGUAUAAGUGUAUUAACGUUUACACUAUAUUCCAAACACUUGUUGUUCUUUUAACAAUCAUAUACAGCAUGCAAUAUUACAUAUUGUGUACUUAUACAAUCAACUAUUUAUCCAUUUGAGCAAAAACAAGAUGGGGAAAACAAGAUUUAGCUAACUUCCUUUUCUCUUGCUUACAGUUUCUUCUUCCAGUUCUGCAUACCCUGAAAAAAAAAAAGUGUGAUGGAUAUGUCUUUUCAGAAACCAAGUGAACAAAGACUAAUAAUGCUUUCAGCAUUUUGUUGCAAUACACCUUUCAAACUUUCAAUAUUCUUUAUAGAAUAAGAGGAAGAAAAUAAUUGAUGGGCUAUAAGAACAGGGAAUCCCCUCUUGAGCCCCAGGAAAUAUGGAAAAAAAAAUAAUGAUCUGGUUUGAUGUAAGGCAGCUUUAGAUAAAUUAUGAUAUUUUUGCCAGGGGUCACAGGUAAUUAGGAAAACACCUGCGUAGCAGACAGAAAACCUUCGUGCAAUCAAUCCCGGCUGAAGAGAAAAGCUGGUGAUACGCAACGUUAGAAAUACUGAAUUAGAUGCCAGAAGAAUCUGAUUUCUUUCAAACCAACAUCCGGGUUUUUAUGGAACAGCAUGUUACUCCCACAGCCCAGUGAAGUGUUUGAGAAGAUGAAGUACACGAACCCUUCUGAACCAUGCACAAAAGCUCCCGUCUACCAGCAGGAGAUACAUCAGAAAUGUAUUUCCCUCACACACACACACACACACACUACUCAGGGACUGUCGAGCUAGGGAGUUCAGAGGUCUGGCUGUCUUUGCUUGAAGACCAAGAGGUGACAGGGCUAUCAGUAACUCUGGGUGGCUCUCUCAGGACACAGGCCCUCUCCCUAGGAAACCCAUUUGUGUACAUGUAUGCCCUCAAUGUGGGAGUUAUCAAAGAUACGGGCAUCAAUGAGUUACCAGAAAAACUGGCUUCUCCACAUAGCUGGAGGGAGGCUGGUGAAUAAGUUGUGUCAAGUAGCGUCCUUAAUCCACUUCUGAUCUCUGCUGGGAAGUUGCCUAAA